AUUCUAUAGUGUUCUCAGUGAAUAUAAUGUACAUUCUAUUUUAAUAGCUUUUUAUAGCCUCUAUUUUUUAUUAAUGCACCCUGAAUAUGCUGUGCUUUUUAUUGUGAAUAACCAAUAAAAGAUGGCUGUAAAAAUAGUCAUAACACCAUACUGUUUUCUUCCAUACUUUUAUCUCCCACUGUAAACUUAGAUGCUGCUCAGAAAUGCAAUUAAAGUAAAAUGAACUCACAAAGAAAAACAUUUAGGGUGAUGACAAGAGCUUAUUCAGUUCCCUAUGGCUUCUUUUACUGGACAUAUUCAUAAUAGCACAAUGUUUAUUUGGCUUAUUCCUGUAUCUAGUCUUCCUUAUUUGUAAUUAUCUAAUAUCGGUGAUUAAAAAUUGCAUCUAGAAAUUGAAGACAGACAUUUCAUAGACAUCUUAACUCCUCAUAGAUUGGUGAAUAUUACUUACUUGUGGUGAGACAAAAGGGUAACUCAGAGAUAAAAAUGUUUCUGAAGUGUGUUUCAGAACCUAUUAUGUGCAAGGUAUUUUUUUCAUGAUACAAAAGGGUAUAAAAUACAGCCCUGAUCCUCAGGCAAUGUGUAAUCUAUUUGAGGGAAAAUAGAAUAUUAGUAAACAAUUAAUGUGCAUAAGCAAUGACUGUUUAAAGCUCAUAGAAGAGAAGGAAUCUUUCUUGGCUUAUUUUCCAAAGAAGGUUUCACUGUAAUAGUUGGAUUGGGGCUAAAUCUGGGUUUCAUAAGGAUCAGCUAGAUGGAGAGUAGUGAAAUGACCUUGCAGGUUCCAAAAAUAGGCAAGCAGGACUGUGUUUAGGAAGACCAGGAGUAAACAUCUUUCCCUACCCCUCUUUAAAUUUUACCCUCUUCAGAAAUAGAGACAUAUGUACUGUGAAACCAAAGAGGAGGCUGGAAAAGAAAGGUCAAGCUAGAUUUAGAUAUUCCUGAAUGCAAGGCUGACACAUUUGGGCUCAAUCCUUUAGCUGGUUGAAAUCCAUGGGAGGUUUUUAAGCAGAAGAGCAACAUGAUUUAAGAGCAUGACAGUGACGUGUGGGAUCAUGGGGAGGGAAGAAACUGAAAGCAGGGAGGUGAAGCAAGGCUUGUAUUAUCAUGCUUAGACUAAGCAGGAGGGCUCUCUGUAGAGGGCAGUUGCAAUUAGAAACCCUGAGGAGCAAAGUGUUGAAGAAUAUGGGAUGUCACUGUACUUGGGAUCCAGUACUCAGUGCUGAACAUCUCUUUCCAUGACUGAAUAGCUAUUUAUUUUUUUUGUUAUUUGUGCUUUGGGUUAAUAUCCAAAAAAACAAUUGCCUAACCCAAGGUCACGAAAAUUUAUCUUUGGUUUUUUUUUUUUUUUUAAGAGUUUUGUACUUUUAACUCUAAUAUUUAGGUUUUGGAUUCAUGUUGAGUCAUGUCCAUUGCUUUUCGGUUGUACUACUUUUACCUGAUCUCAUAUGUGUAUGUAUCCAGGUGUUGUGUGUAUGUGUGUGUGUGCGUGUGUGUGUGUGUGCGUGUGCGUAUGUGUGUGUGUGUAUUUUCUGAGGGUGACCACCCCUGGGCUCUUUCACUCUAUAUUCUGUCUUUUUUAUACUUCACUCCUUCUGUCUUCUGUUCCACAUCUGACCUGUCCCCACUCCCUCUCAUCUCAAACACAACAGUUUUUAGAAGCAAGAGCUAUAGAGUUAUGACCUUAGGGUGAGCAUCUUAUGUUUAUGACUAUAUAUGUAUACAUAUAUACUUAUACACAUUAACAUAUAUAAUACACAUAUUAAUAUAUACAUAUACACAUUAAAAUUUACAUAUAUACAUAUGCACACAUUAACAUUUACAUACAUAUACACAUACAUGUUAACAUUUACAUAUAUAUGUAUAUAGAUUUAUAAGUUUUUUUUAGUGUUUUUGAAGACAUGUCACUUAGCCCUAGCAACUUUUUUCUGUACUUCACAUGCAAGAUUUCUGCACCAAUCUCAGUUUUGUUUUGUAGGCAUUAUAUUUUCAUUUGUAAUUCAUAGCUAAGACUUACUUUCAGUGAAACAAGAUUCAUAUGGAUUUAUACAUUCAUUUUUUGCAUUUUUAUUAUAUUCGGGAGGGAAGAAGAAACUUUAUUAUACUGCCACAAACAUACUAAAAAAUAUCCUUUCCUGAUUCUUCCCCAUCACAACACUGAUUCUCUACCACCUAUGUCUUAUUCCUCAUUUAUAAUAUAGAGUAGCUUUUUUUUUUAAAGCAGGAAUCAAAGUACUAAGUUCUUAUAAGCCUUGCAACAAGCUUAUCAGAUGUUUUUUCCUACAAUUUAUCCAUCGUUGUGAGCAGUAGCUUAUAUCCCAAGUUGCAAUGUCCAGCACAUGAUAAGAGAUAAUGACUUAGGACUUGGCAAAAGGCCAAGAUUAGGGAUAGGUGCAUAAUUGGUAAUUAAUAAUGUGAGAAGAAUAAUUCCCAGAAUGUUUGUGGAAUAAUGCUCAUGCUAAGAAUAGUUAGUAUGUCUAACCUUGUGUAUAAAUGAAGUAGUUGGCCAGCUUACUACAUGGAAUUAUUUUCUGCCAAAAUGAUUUCUCCUUAUGAUCUCUGAUGAUAUCUUAAUUUAUACUUUCAGCAUUUAUUCCAUUCAAUUUAAGUAUUAUCUCUUGUUAAAAUACAAAAGUCUGUGUCACAUACAACAUAAGCCUAUAUGUCCCAGGCUGUGUUCUUUGGAACACUGUAUCCAAAAGCUGUUAAUUGUUUUUCUAUGACAAAUACCAAAUUUGGGGAAACAAUAGUUAAAUAAAAUUAAACAAGUUUCUUUGCAGGGUGGGGUACUUCUGAGAUCCUAUAGUAAAUGCAUUGUGAUACCUCAAAAAGGUAAAUUAUGUCAUACUUCCACAGCCUAUUUGACCACGAAUAAUUUUUAAAAUAAAUCAUCUAUUAUACUUCUCUUCUCAAUACAGUUUUGGAAAUUCCUUACAGUAUAAGAUGAUUUAUCACUGACAGAAUUCUGAGAAAAGGCUGCUAGAUGGAGCACAAAACAUUUACCUUUUGAUAGAUGGGUCAGAAUAUAAAAUAGUGAGGAAGAGAGAUGGGGAUCUCUAUGAUCAGAUUGUGCAGUACUAUUACCUUGCUUAGGUCUGUACAGUUGUCCUGGGUUGAGUGGCCAGUAAGGCAGAGGGGCACUGGAAGGUACAUAGGAAAACAUCACUUGACACUUUUUAGAACUAUCAUUUUCAUGGUAUCAGGCAACUAGUAUGGAUGAAAGAUUAGGAGCCUUUGGAUGUAUGUAAAUCUUCUUCAGCUUGGAAGUCAUUCCUGUUAUAGUGACACUCACCAAGUAUAUUCUUCCUAUUUGGUAAAACUGAUACGGAAAUAAUUCAUAUUAGGAAACACAGUUUCUAUUUUUAGUCAAUGAAAUCAUCAUUCUCCCAGUAACUCAGGCUUAAAAAUUUGAAAUCAUCUAUGGCAUUUAUGUCUCCCUUGCUCCCAGAUAAAAUCUAUCACUGAGUCCUGCUUCAUUAAUUUUCUUGCAUUCUUUCCACAAUUCUUGCUCAGAACUCCCAUCUUCUGAUUCAAAACCAUUCUCCAUAUUAUGGUCGGCUUCAUCUUCGUGAAACCCCCCCCUCCCAUUUAUAACAGUCUCUUAUUCAAGCACCUUCAUGGAUACAAUAUCCAAACUCUUUCAAAUGGCAUGUAAGGACUUCCAUUUCUUAGCCCAUGCAUACUUCUCCAAUCCUGUAUUCCACUGUCCCCUAAUAGGAUCCCUUUGCUCCUGUCAAAGUGAUCUGCCAUCAACCAUCUGUAAGUACUCUCUUCCUACUCAUUUUCUCCUUUCCCUUACCUCUUUGCCUACCUAAAACUGACCCAUUCUUCCACUCUCAGAACAAGGACUACUGCUGGGAAGACUUUUACAGUAACAUCAGGUCAUAGUGACAUUUGCCUCUUCUGAAAUAACUGAGCAUUUACCAUUUGUACCACUGAUUUGGGACUAAGUCCCAUAUGUCUUAUAUUGUUUGUCCCUUAUCUCCUCAAGUAGAUGGUAAGCUCCUUGAAAGAAACAAUUAUACCUUAUACUUCUUUCAAACUCUCAAAUAUAGAAAAGGUUUUGAAGAAUUAUAGUGAAACAAGUGCAAAUUUUCAUAUAUAAAAUGCAUUAAGUGACUACUUGAUCUCUGAACACAACUUUGAGCAUAGUAAAAAGAACUUCACUUCUGGUUUUCCUCAAAAAUUAAGCAUUUCUCUGUAAUCUGAUCUUAUAGCAGUAUUUGAAAUUACAUGUUUUCUUUUGAAAUUUAUUUACAUGUAUGAAAUAUUAUUUACGUGUAUGAGGUUUCAUUGAUGCCAAAACCUCUGACUAGUAAUUAAUGAAAUUUCCCAUUUUUACCAGUGAAAUUUUUGUUGUUGAAUAAGAAAAAGAAUAGGGAGGAGCUCUUUAGUGGCUCAGUGGGUUAAGGAUCUGGUGUUGUCACUGCCAUGGCAUGGGUUCAAUCCCUGGCCUGGGAACUUCCACAUG
rnacentral:lncRNA from 1 species